rnacentral:rRNA from 1 species
CAGGCUUAACACAUGCAAGUCGAGGGGCAGCAUGGUCUUAGCUUGCUAAGACUGAUGGCGACCGGCGCACGGGUGAGUAACACGUAUCCAACCUGCCGUCUACUCUUGGACAGCCUUCUGAAAGGAAGAUUAAUACAAGAUGGCAUCAUGAGUCCACAUGUUCACAUGAUUAAAGGUAUUCCGGUAGACGAUGGGGAUGCGUUCCAUUAGAUAGUAGGCGGGGUAACGGCCCACCUAGUCUUCGAUGGAUAGGGGUUCUGAGAGGAAGGUCCCCCACAUUGGAACUGAGACACGGUCCAAACUCCUACGGGAGGCAGCAGUGAGGAAUAUUGGUCAAUGGGCGAGAGCCUGAACCAGCCAAGUAGCGUGAAGGAUGACUGCCCUAUGGGUUGUAAACUUCUUUUAUAAAGGAAUAAAGUCGGGUAUGCAUACCCGUUUGCAUGUACUUUAUGAAUAAGGAUCGGCUAACUCCGUGCCAGCAGCCGCGGUAAUACGGAGGAUCCGAGCGUUAUCCGGAUUUAUUGGGUUUAAAGGGAGCGUAGAUGGAUGUUUAAGUCAGUUGUGAAAGUUUGCGGCUCAACCGUAAAAUUGCAGUUGAUACUGGAUAUCUUGAGUGCAGUUGAGGCAGGCGGAAUUCGUGGUGUAGCGGUGAAAUGCUUAGAUAUCACGAAGAACUCCGAUUGCGAAGGCAGCCUGCUAAGCUGCAACUGACAUUGAGGCUCGAAAGUGUGGGUAUCAAACAGGAUUAGAUACCCUGGUAGUCCACACGGUAAACGAUGAAUACUCGCUGUUUGCGAUAUACAGCAAGCGGCCAAGCGAAAGCGUUAAGUAUUCCACCUGGGGAGUACGCCGGCAACGGUGAAACUCAAAGGAAUUGACGGGGGCCCGCACAAGCGGAGGAACAUGUGGUUUAAUUCGAUGAUACGCGAGGAACCUUACCCGGGCUUAAAUUGCAGAUGAAUUACGGUGAAAGCCGUAAGCCGCAAGGCAUCUGUGAAGGUGCUGCAUGGUUGUCGUCAGCUCGUGCCGUGAGGUGUCGGCUUAAGUGCCAUAACGAGCGCAACCCUUGUUGUCAGUUACUAACAGGUCCUGCUGAGGACUCUGACAAGACUGCCAUCGUAAGAUGUGAGGAAGGUGGGGAUGACGUCAAAUCAGCACGGCCCUUACGUCCGGGGCUACACACGUGUUACAAUGGGGGGUACAGAGGGCCGCUACCACGCGAGUGGAUGCCAAUCCCCAAAACCUCUCUCAGUUCGGACUGGAGUCUGCAACCCGACUCCACGAAGCUGGAUUCGCUAGUAAUCGCGCAUCAGCCACGGCGCGGUGAAUACGUUCCCGGGCCUUGUACACACCGCCCGUCAAGCCAUGGGAGCCGGGGGUACCUGAAGUGCGUAACCGCGAGGAGCGCCCUAGGGUAAAACUGGUGACUGGGGCUAAGUCAUAAC